rnacentral:rRNA from 1 species
GACGAACGCUGGCGGCGUGCUUAACACAUGCAAGUCGAACGGGAUGGCCGGGCUUUGGUGUGUUGCUCGGGUGGCGAGCGGGUUAGUAGCGCGUGAGUGACCAGCCCGUGACUUUGGUAUAACUUCCGGCAGCUGAAGCUCAUGCCAGAUAGGCGCUCCUGCUGCGUGGUGGGGGCUGUAGCGUUGCGGCGGUUGGGGAUGGAGUAGGGGCUUAUGAGCUUGUUGGUGGGGUAGUGGCUUACCUAGGCUUUGACGGGUAGCCGGCAGGAGUGGGUGGCCGGCCAGAUUGGGACUGAGAUACGGCCCAGAGUCCUAAGGGAGGCAGCAGUGGCGAAUAUUGCACGAUGGGAGGAAGCCUGAUGCAGCAACGCCGUGGGGGGGAUGACGGCUUUCGGGUGGUAGAACGCUUUCGCCUGUGACGAAGCGUGGGUGGCGGUAAUGGGUAAAGAAGCACCGGCUAACUACGUG